UUUAUACUCCCUCCGUCCCAAAAUAAGUGUCUCCACUUUGUACUAACUCUAGUACAAAAUUAUACUAAGCUUGAGACACUUAUUUUGAGACACUUAUUUUGGGGCGGAGGGAGUAUAUU
rnacentral:pre_miRNA from 1 species